rnacentral:rRNA from 1 species
CCUACGGGUGGCAGCAGUGAGGAAUAUUGGUCAAUGGACGCAAGCCUGAACCAGCCAUGCCGCGUGCAGGAAGACGGCCCUAUGAGUUGUAAACUGCUUUUGUACAAGGGUAAACGCAGAUACGCGUAUCUGUCUGAAAGUAUCGUACGAAUAAGGAUCGGCUAACUCCGUGCCAGCAGCCGCGGUAAUACGGAGGAUUCGAGCGUUAUCCGGAUUUAUUGGGUUUAAAGGGUGCGUAGGCGGUCGGAUAAGUUAGAGGUGAAAUCCCGAGGCUCAACUUCGGAAUUGCCUCUGAUACUGUCCGGCUAGAGAGUAGUUGAGGUAGGCGGAAUGUAUGGUGUAGCGGUGAAAUGCUUAGAUAUCAUACAGAACACCGAUUGCGAAGGCAGCUUACCAAGCUACUUCUGACGUUGAGGCACGAAAGCGUGGGGAGCAAACAGGAUUAGAUACCCUAGUAGUC